UACGUAGGGGGCAAGCGUUAUCCGGAUUUACUGGGCGUAAAGCGCGUUAAGGCGGCCAGUUGCGUCUGCUGUGAAAUCCCGGGGCUCAACCCCGGGCGUGCAGUGGAUACGGGCUGGCUAGAGGCAGGCAGGGGAGAACGGAAUUCCCGGUGUAGCGGUGAAAUGCGCAGAUAUCGGGAGGAACACCGGUGGCGAAGGCGGUUCUCUGGGCCUGUACUGACGCUGAGGAGCGAAAGCGUGGGGAGCGAACAGG
rnacentral:rRNA from 1 species